GACGAACGCUGGCGGCGUGCUUAACACAUGCAAGUCGAACGGAAAGGCCCUGCUUUUGUGGGGUGCUCGAGUGGCGAACGGGUGAGUAACACGUGAGUAACCUGUCCUUGACUUUGGGAUAACUUCAGGAAACUGGGGCUAAUACCGGAUAGGAGCUCCUGCUGCUUGGUGGGGGUUGGAAAGUUUCGGCGGUUGGGGAUGGACUCGCGGCUUAUCAGCUUGUUGGUGGGGUAGUGGCUUACCAAGGCUUUGCCGGGUAGCCGGCCUGAGAGGGUGACCGGCCACAUUAGGACUGAGAUACGGCCCAGACUCCUACGGGAGGCAGGGGUGGGGAAUAUUGCACAAUGGGCGGAAGCCUGAUGCAGCAACGCCGCGUGCGGGAUGACGGCCUUCGGGUUGUAAACCACUUUCGCCUGUGACGAGGCGUGAGUGACGGUAAUGGGUAAAGAAGCACCGGCUAACUACGUG
rnacentral:rRNA from 1 species